UACGAAGGGGGCUAGCGUUGCUCGGAAUUACUGGGCGUAAAGGGCGCGUAGGCGGAUAUUUAAGUCGGGGGUGAAAGCCCAGGGCUUAACCCUGGAAUUGCCUUUAAGACUGCAUCGCUAGAAUCGUGGAGAGGUAAGUGGAAUUCCGAGUGUAGAGGUGAAAUUCGUAGAUAUUCGGAAGAACACCAGUGGCGAAGGCGACUUACUGGACACGUAUUGACGCUGAGGUGCGAAAGCGAUGGGGAGCAAACAGGGAUUAAGAAACC
rnacentral:rRNA from 1 species